AUUCUAGAGUUUGAUCAUGGCUCAGAUUGAACGCUGGCGGCAGGCCUAACACAUGCAAGUCGAACGGUAGCACAGAGGAGCUUGCUCCUUGGGUGACGAGUGGCGGACGGGUGAGUAAUGUCUGGGAAACUGCCCGAUGGAGGGGGAUAACUACUGGAAACGGUAGCUAAUACCGCAUAACGUCGCAAGACCAAAGAGGGGGACCUUCGGGCCUCUUGCCAUCGGAUGUGCCCAGAUGGGAUUAGCUAGUAGGUGGGGUAACGGCUCACCUAGGCGACGAUCCCUAGCUGGUCUGAGAGGAUGACCAGCCACACUGGAACUGAGACACGGUCCAGACUCCUACGGGAGGCAGCAGUGGGGAAUAUUGCACAAUGGGCGCAAGCCUGAUGCAGCCAUGCCGCGUGUAUGAAGAAGGCCUUCGGGUUGUAAAGUACUUUCAGCGAGGAAGAAGGCGUUGUGGUUAAUAACCGCAGCGAUUGACGUUACUCGCAGAAGAAGCACCGGCUAACUCCGUGCCAACAGUCGCGGUAAUACGGAUGGUGGUAACGUUAAUCGGAAUUACUGGGCGUAAAGCGCACGCAGGCGGUCUGUCAAGUCGGAUGUGAAAUCCCCGGGCUCAACCUGGGAACUGCAUCCGAAACUGGCAGGCUAGAGUCUUGUAGAGGGGGGUAGAAUUCCAGGUGUAGCGGUGAAAUGCGUAGAGAUCUGGAGGAAUACCGGUGGCGAAGGCGGCCCCCUGGACAAAGACUGACGCUCAGGUGCGAAAGCGUGGGGAGCAAACAGGAUUAGAUACCCUGGUAGUCCACGCCGUAAACGAUGUCGACUUGGAGGUUGUGCCCUUGAGGCGUGGCUUCCGGAGCUAACGCGUUAAGUCGACCGCCUGGGGAGUACGGCCGCAAGGUUAAAACUCAAAUGAAUUGACGGGGGCCCGCACAAGCGGUGGAGCAUGUGGUUUAAUUCGAUGCAACGCGAAGAACCUUACCUACUCUUGACAUCCAGAGAACUUAGCAGAGAUGCUUUGGUGCCUUCGGGAACUCUGAGACAGGUGCUGCAUGGCUGUCGUCAGCUCGUGUUGUGAAAUGUUGGGUUAAGUCCCGCAACGAGCGCAACCCUUAUCCUUUGUUGCCAGCGGUUCGGCCGGGAACUCAAAGGAGACUGCCAGUGAUAAACUGGAGGAAGGUGGGGAUGACGUCAAGUCAUCAUGGCCCUUACGAGUAGGGCUACACACGUGCUACAAUGGCAUAUACAAAGAGAAGCGACCUCGCGAGAGCAAGCGGACCUCAUAAAGUAUGUCGUAGUCCGGAUUGGAGUCUGCAACUCGACUCCAUGAAGUCGGAAUCGCUAGUAAUCGUGGAUCAGAAUGCCACGGUGAAUACGUUCCCGGGCCUUGUACACACCGCCCGUCACACCAUGGGAGUGGGUUGCAAAAGAAGUAGGUAGCUUAACCUUCGGGAGGGCGCUUACCACUUUGUGAUUCAUGACUGGGGUG
rnacentral:rRNA from 1 species